AGAGGGUGCAAGCGUUAAUCGGAAUUACUGGGCGUAAAGGGCGUGUAGGUGGUUUGAUAAGUUGGCUGUGAAAGCCCCGGGCUUAACCUGGGAGGGUCAGCCAAAACUAUUAGACUAGAGUACGGUAGAGGGUAGUGGAAUUUCCGGUGUAGCGGUGAAAUGCGUAGAUAUCGGAAGGAACACCAGUGGCAAAGGCGACUACCUGGACUGAUACUGACACUGAGGCGCGAAAGCGUGGGGAGCAAACAGGAUUAGAUACCCUGGGUAGUCCACGCCGUAAACGAUGAGAACUAGCCGUUGGAAACGUAAGUUUUUAGUGGCGCAGCUAACGCGAUAAGUUCUCCGCCUGGGGAGUACGGCCGCAAGGCUA
rnacentral:rRNA from 1 species